rnacentral:tRNA from 1 species
GUGACCAUAGAUCAACGGAUAGAUCAAGUUCCUCCUAAGAAUUAGAUACAGGUUCGAUUCCUGUUGGUCACACCA